GGGGAUGUAGCUGAGUGGUAGAGCACUUGCCUGGCAUGCAAAAGAUGCUGAGUUCUAUCCCUAGCAUUGCCA
rnacentral:tRNA from 1 species